GACAACGCUAUUUUGGGUGACACCAUACCACCAAUCUGAGGCGUUAGAUUUGGCGUGAGAUGCAAUUUUAAAGUGACACUUGGCAGGCUCAAUUUUCUUAAAAAAAUAAUUAAAAAAAUGCAAAAGGCUAUAACUAGGAAUAACAAUUCCAGUUGUUUCUCUCUUCACGCAAAUUACGGUCUUUCUCUUCCUUCUCUCUUUCUUCUAUUUUCAGCAUUAAUCUAUCAAAUCUUUAGCCAAAAACCGCCACCGCUAUAUUCAGUCUCUGCAAUUCUUUUUAUCUUCUGCGCCAUUUGCAUUCUGUUCUCCGUGAUUUUUUCUUCAAUCUUCAGUCAGUAGUCAAUCCAUGGAGAAGAAGUUCCCGCCGAUAUUCAUUUCACUGAUUUUGAAGACGUUCCUUGUGUGCCCGAUUGCGAUGACAAAUUAAAACCAUUCUUUGGCAAGAAAUUCGACACCUUGGACAACGAAAUUGCUUUCUAUGAUGCUUAUGCUCGUGAAUCGACACACGGAAACAUGGAACCAAAUCUUCACGUGAGUUUGUUACUUGGCAAUAUAUUGUGUGCAACAGGGAAGAGUUGAAGUAUGGGAUUGAAAUGGAUCACAUUCAUGCACGUGAAGGAUUCAUUAAAAAGCACAGACGACCACCUUGAAGAGGCACAGAAGAAGGGACCCGUUGAUGUUGAAAAGAUGGUGGCAGAGUUCCCCAAACCUUGAGUGGUGACUGUCAUUGUUUUAUAAAAAUGGCAAUAACUUUGUUUUGAUUUGGAUGUGUUCAGAAUAUUGCUUUGUUUUGGUUUACGGAUUGCUUGGUUUUAGAAUUUGGUUUUCCGCUUUGGAUGGUGAAUAUUAGCUGCUUUAUUUCAAGUUUA